GUUUUCAACCUGAAAACAAUAAAUCCAAAACUGAUCUCAGCUGUUCCGGACUUGGACCGAGCCCAGCGACUGCGGCUACAGUUACAUUACCUCGCAAAGUAUUUUAAUCACAUGUCGAGAGUCCAUCUCCGAUCAGCUCCAGAAAACUCAUCUGGCCGCGGGAAUAUCUGUACGAGCACAUGAAUAUUUACUCAAUGGCUGAUCUAUCUCAAAUCGCAAAUGGUGUUUUAAUUCCAUUUUGCUGAAAAUCGUCUCGCUCGCCACAACUCAUGUUACGGACUGCUCUUUUUGUCACUCC
rnacentral:lncRNA from 1 species